GACGAACGCUGGCGGCGCGCCUAACACAUGCAAGUCGAACGAGAGAGAGGGAGCUUGCUUCCUCAAUCGAGUGGCGAACGGGUGAGUAACGCGUGAGGAACCUGCCUCAAAGAGGGGGACAACAGUUGGAAACGACUGCUAAUACCGCAUAAGCCCACAGGUCGGCAUCGACCAGAGGGAAAAGGAGCAAUCCGCUUUGAGAUGGCCUCGCGUCCGAUUAGCUAGUUGGUGAGGUAACGGCCCACCAAGGCGACGAUCGGUAGCCGGACUGAGAGGUUGAACGGCCACAUUGGGACUGAGACACGGCCCAGACUCCUACGGGAGGCAGCAGUGGGGAAUAUUGCACAAUGGGGGAAACCCUGAUGCAGCGACGCCGCGUGGAGGAAGAAGGUCUUCGGAUUGUAAACUCCUGU
rnacentral:rRNA from 1 species